rnacentral:rRNA from 1 species
GUCUACGGCCAUGCCACUCUGAACGCGCCCGAUCUCGUCUGAUCUCGGAAGCUAAGUAGAGUCGGGCCUGGUUAGUACGUAGAUGGGAGACCACCUAGGAAGACCGGGUGCUGUAGGAG